rnacentral:lncRNA from 1 species
AAAAGUGGUAUGUCGCAAUAGCCAGGUGAGAGUUCACUUGAGGAUGUGAACUGGAUGAACAAGUGGAUUUAUCAAGGCUUUUAGUUAGUGGAGGGGUGAGAGGAGGACAUGGCAGAUUUCUAAAAGGAGAAAGAUGAAAACAAAACUUGUGGAUUAGGGAAACUCAGGGAUAUGAUUUAAUGAAGAUGAUGUUUAGGCAGAUUAGUCAGGUGGCAGACUGCAGAAUGAACGGAUUAGAGAAGAGAAUUGAGAGGCUAGAAACAGUUAAGAAGCUACUUCAGAAAAUGUACCAUCAAAAAAAGGGCAAUUAACUCUCAGUGCUGUGUGUGGAAGGAGCCAGGCUUUCAUCCAAACCUAGACGGUGCACAUUUUCAACAUGGAAAACAUUAGGGAAGGCUUUAUGGUGGUGGUAA